rnacentral:rRNA from 1 species
UACGAGGGGGGCAAGCGUUGUUCGGAAUUAUUGGGCGUAAAGGGCUCGUAGGCGGCCAACUAAGUCGGAUGUGAAAUCCCCAGGCUUAACCUGGGAACUGCAUCCGAUACUGGAUGGCUUGAAUCCGGGAGAGGGAUGCAGAAUUCCAGGUGUAGCGGUGAAAUGCGUAGAUAUCUGGAGGAAUACCGGUGGCGAAGGCGGCAUCCUGGACCGGCAUUGACGCUGAGUGAGCGAAAGCCAGGGGAGCAAACGGG